AGUGCAGCGAGACGCCAGAGAUGCCCUCGGACGUGGAGGAAACGGAGUACAGAGAGGAGGAGGAGGAGCAAGGGGAAGGGGAGGAAGAAGAACAAGAUCAAGGUGAUUCAAAUGAAGAAGAACAAGAUGAAGAGUGGGGUGGAGGAAAGCGGAAACGAAAGAAAAGUAAAAAGAGAAAAUCGUCACGUGGUGAGCGAGGGCGGAAAAAACGAAAGAAGAAAGAUGAGAGUGAGAGUGAAGGUGAAUAUGAAGAAGAGGGUGGUCGUGUUGACUCAGACAAUCAAGAAGAGACCCCGAAAGGAAGGGGGCGUGGAAAGGGACGUGGGAGACCUCCUGCAACUCCCACAGCAACAGUACCAGAAUCAAGUGGAGGAGAUCAGAUGCCAACUGUUGCUGAGGUGUGUGAAAGCUUUGGUCUGAAUGAUGUCGAAUUGGAGUACACUGAUUCAGACUUUCAGAAUUGACAACAUACAAGUUGUUCCAGCAACAUGUGCGUCCACUUCUGGCUAAGGAAAAUCCAAGGGUACCAGUGUCAAAGUUGAUGAUGUUGGUAGCUGCAAAGUGGCGUGAAUUCACGGCUCGCAAUCAGCAGCAGGAAGAGGAGGAGGAAGAUGAAAUUGUAGAAGAGGAGGAAGAAGAGGAACCAGAACCAGCACCGGUACAAAUAACACCCAAGGGUCGAGGACGCCCUAGAAAAGCCAAGGUAGAUGAAGAAGUUGAGGAAGAUUUUGAUGAUGAUAGUGAGGGCGUGGGUAAGAAGAAACGUGGCCGAAAACGCACUGCUACAGCUGAAGGAAAAAACAAAAAGGGUGGAAAAGUUCCAACUUUGAAGAUUAAGUUAGGGAAGAGGAAGAAGGACACCUCGGAGGAUGAGUCAAGCCAAGACAGUGAUGCAGAGUUUGAGCAAAUGUUAGCUGAGGCAGAGGACAUGAAUAAGGCUGAAGAUGAGGCAGAACAGCAAAAUGCGCCCAAAAAGAAAGCCAAAACCAAGAUUGGCAACAAAAAUAAGCGUAAAAGCGUAUGAAGGCAAAGGAUGAGGAUGGAUAUGAAACAGAUCAUCAAGAUUACUGCGAGGUAUGUCAGCAGGGUGGUGAGAUCAUCCUUUGUGACACUUGUCCUAAGGCUUACCAUCUGGUGUGUCUUGAACCAGAAUUGGAAGAGGCUCCUGAGGGCAAGUGGUCAUGCCCCACUUGUGAGUCAGAGGGAGUCAAGGAAGAAGAUGAACAUAUGGAGUACUGUAAAGUUUGUAAGGAUGGUGGUGAACUUCUUUGCUGUGAUUCAUGUGUGAAUGCCUACCAUACAAUUUGUUGUCACCACCUUUGUUUGAAGUACCUGAAGGAGAAUGGACCUGUCAGCGCUGUGCUUGUGAACCUUUGCCAGGAAAAGUCCAGAAGAUCCUAUUCUGGAGAUAUGUUGACCCCAAAGCCACCAGAGAAUUGGAAGGAGAUUGUUGGAGACAAAUGGGAAAAAUAUCAGUUCAAACAGCUGCGAGAGUUUUUGGUGAAGUGGGUUGAUAUGUCAUACUGGCACUGCUCUUGGAUUUCUGAACUCAUGUUGGAUGUACAUCAUCCUCAGCAAUGAUAUUUUUCCUUCCUUUUAAGAUGUCGCUCAUACUCAAAAAAGUUUGAUCCAGAUGAGCCACCUGUACCUGGUAUGGAUGACGACGAUGAAGUAGGGUCACAAAGACGUGGCAAAAGCAUUGAUCCAACUCCUUGGAAGAAAGAUAUUACAAAAUAUGGAAUCAAGUCCACCUGGUUGAAAUCCAUCGUGUGUUGAACCAUCGUUCUUUGCGGAUGGAACCAUACAGUAUCUUGUGAAAUGGCGAGACUUACCCUAUGACCAAGCUACAUGGAAGAUGAGGAUGAAGAGAUUAUUGGCUUAAAAACUGCAAUUGAGUUUUAUCAUGAUCUGAGAGCAGCAUGUAAUGCUGAUGCUGUUGGUAAGAGUAAGAAAGGAAAGAAGAAAGGCAAGGCAAGGGCACGAGAAUUGGGAGAAGAAGAUCGUGAGCCUUCUUCACCCCGGCGAUACACUCCUCCACCUGAUAAACCAGUAACGAACCUCAGUAAGAAGUGGGAGAAGCAGCCAGACUACCUGGAUAUGACUGGGCUCUCACUUCACGAGUAUCAGCUUGAGGGUGUUAAUUGGUUACGAUAUUCUUGGGGUCAGGGAACAGACACCAUCUUGGCUGAUGAGAUGGGUCUUGGAAAGACAAUUCAGACCAUUGCAUUUUUGUAUUCACUCUACAAAGAAGGACACUCUAAAGGUCCCUUCCUUGUAGCUGUCCCACUCUCCACCAUCAUUAAUUGGGAAAGAGAGUUUGAGAUGUGGGCCCCAGACUUCUAUGUUGUUACAUAUGUAGGUGACAGAGAAUCACGAUCUAUGAUUCGUGAGCAUGAAUUGUCAUUUGAGGAAGGAGCAGUGCGAAGUGCAUCAAAAGCCACACGUAUCCGUACAACAAAUGUAAAAUUCAAUGUACUUCUAACCUCCUAUGAGAUGAUAUCUAUGGAUCAAGCUUGCCUAGGAUCAUUAGAGUGGGCAUGCUUGGUUGUAGAUGAAGCUCACAGAUUGAAGAGUAACCAGUCUAAGUUCUUCCGUGUGCUGAACCAGUACAACAUCGUUUAUCGUCUGCUUUUAACUGGAACCCCACUUCAAAACAACCUGGAGAACUUUUCCAUUUACUCAACUUCUUGUGUCCUGAAAAAUUCUCUGAUCUAUCAUCCUUCCAAAUGAAUUUGAAGAUAUUGCAAAAGAAGAUCAGAUUAAAAAACUGCACGAUUUGCUUGGACCUCACAUGUUGAGAAGAUUGAAGACUGAUGUACUCAAGAACAUGCCAACCAAGUCAGAGUUCAUCAUUCGUGUGGAGUUAUCACCACUGCAGAAGAAAUACUACAAAUACAUUCUUACCCGUAAUUUUGAAGCCCUUAACUCAAGAGGAGGAGGCCAACAGGUUUCUUUGCUCAACAUUGUCAUGGAUCUGAAGAAGUGUUGCAACCAUCCAUACCUCUUCCCAGCAGCAGCAGAGGAGGCCCCUAAGCUGCCAAAUGGAAUGUAUGUAAGCAGAGACCUUGUGAAGGCCAGUGGCAAGUUCAUUCUCCUGGAGAGUAUGUUGGAGAAGCUCAAACGUGAUGGCCAUCGUGUGUUGAUUUUCUCCCAGAUGACAAGGAUGUUAAUGUUUUGGAAGACUUCUGUGAGGGCAUGGGUUACAAAUAUGAAAGAAUUGAUGGUGGCAUCACUGGUCAAGCUCGUCAAGAAGCCAUUGAUAGAUUCAAUGCUCCAGGUGCCCAGCAGUUUAUUUUCUUAUUGUCUACUCGUGCUGGUGGUUUGGUAUCAACUUGGCCACUGCAGAUACUGUCAUCAUCUAUGAUUCUGAUUGGAAUCCACAUAACGAUAUUCAAGCUUUCUCCAGAGCUCAUCGUAUUGGUCAGGCAAAUAAGGUGAUGAUUUACCGGUUUGUGACUCGUAACUCUGUUGAAGAAAGAGUCACACAGGUUGCUAAGAGAAAGAUGAUGUUGACUCACUUGGUUGUCCGUCCUGGAAUGGGAUCAAAAGCCACAAACUUCUCCAAACAAGAAUUGGAUGAUAUCUUGAGGUUUGGUACAGAAGAACUUUUCAAAGAAGAGGAAGGCAAAGAGGAUGAAGCUAUCCAUUAUGAUAACCAGGCUAUUGAGGAACUCCUUGACCGUACAAAGGAGGGUAUUGAACAGAAGGAGAACUGGGCUAAUGAGUAUCUCAGCUCUUUCAAGGUUGCUUCAUAUGUUACCAAAGAAGGGGAAGAGGAGGAAAUGGAAGAUGUUGAGGUUUUGAAGCAAGAAGCAGAUAAUACAGAUUCCCUUUACUGGGAACGACUUUUGCGCCAUCACUUCGAACAACAACAGGAAGAUCUGGCAAGAACUCUUGGAAAGGGUAAACGAGUCAGGAAACAGGUGAACUACAACGAUGCAGCAGAUGGUAGAGAAGAUCUUAGCUGGCAAGAACAGGGAUCAGACUACAACUCUGACUUCUCCAUGCCAUCUGACAAUGAUAAUGAUGAUGAAUUUGAUGAAAAGAAUGAAACUGAAGGAGGCCGUAGAUCACGCCGUCGUGGUGACAGAGGUGACCGUGAUCGUCCAUUGCCGCCACUUCUUGCCCGAGUUGGAGGAAAUAUUGAAGUUCUGGGAUUCAAUGCCAGACAACGCAAGGCUUUCCUCAAUGCAGUUAUGCGUUAUGGAAUGCCUCCUCAAGAAGCUUUCAACUCUCAAUGGUUGGUACGAGACCUCCGAGGCAAGAGUGAGAAGUGCUUCAGAGCAUACACAUCUCUCUUCAUGCGCCAUUUGUGUGAGCCUGGUAAUGACAAUGCUGAAACAUUUGCUGAUGGAGUGCUCGUGAAGGAUUAAGCAGACAACACGUUUCUCACAGAAUUGGAGUGAUGUCACUCAUUCGCAAAAAGAUUUCAGAGUUUGAGACAAUCAAUGGCCAUUACUCAAUGCCAGAAGCUCUAAAUAGGCCUGUUGAGCCAGCAGUAGUAGAUGGUGGCAAGAGCAAUGGUACUUCUGCUUCUGGCACACCAGCAACAAGUGUAACUCCAUCUCCUGCACCAUCUGUGAAGGGAGAAUCAGAAGACAAGGAAGAGGACAAAAAGGAAGAAGCUAAGAAAGAAGAAGACAAGAAGGCCGAAGAUAAAGAAAAGAAGGAUGAAAAGGAGACAGAAAAGGAAGAAGAAAAGAAGGAAGAGCAGAGACCCCAAAAUAAUGAGGCAUUUUUACCUCAACAGAAGGAGGAACCUGCUGAAACACCAGAAACUGAAGAAAAAGAACAGAAGGAAGGAGAACAAAAGACUGAAGAAAAGGAAGAGGCUGAGGUCAAGACUGAAAAGGUUGAAAAGACAGAGGAUGAUAAGGAGACUGAAAAGAAGGAAGAAGUCAAGAAAGAAGAGGAAGAGAAGGAGGAGGAGAAAGACAAAGAGAAAGAAAAGGAGAAGGAAGGAGAUAAAGACAAAGAAAAGGACAAAGAUAAGAAGGAGGAGGAUGAUAAGAAGGAUUCCAAGAAGAAGGAUGUGGAUUCCGUGGCAAGAGAAAGUUCAUGUUCAAUAUUGCUGACGGUGGAUUCACUGAGCUGCACACACUGUGGCAAAAUGAGGAGAAGGCAGCUGUUCCUGGCCGCGAGUAUGAGAUUUGGCACCGCAGGCAUGAUUAUUGGCUGCUUGCUGGCAUUGUUACCAUGGGUAUGGAAGGUGGCAAGACAUCCAGAAUGAUGUCAGUUUGCCAUCAUCAAUGAGCCAUUCAAGAUGGAUGUGGGGCAAGGGUAAUUUCUUGGAAAUUAAAAACAAAUUCCUUGCCAGAAGGUUCAAGCUGUUAGAGCAAGCACUGGUCAUUGAGGAACAGCUGCGUCGUGCAGCAUUCCUUAACUUACAACAGGAUCCCCAUCAUCCUGCUUGCACCUUGAAUGCUCGUUUCGCUGAAGUGGAAUGUCUGGCCGAAUCACACCAGCACCUCAGCAAGGAGUCCCUGGCUGGAAAUAAGCCAGCUAAUGCAGUGCUAAAUAAGGUGCUGAACCAGCUUGAGGAGCUGCUGUCAGACAUGAAAUCUGAUGUCACACGGUUACCUGCUUCCCUUGCCCGUAUUCCCCCUGUGGCCCAGCGUCUCCAAAUGUCUGAGCGUUCUAUCCUAUCUCGCCUGGCCUCAGGCGCGGGUAAUGUGGACAAAAGCGCUCAAGGAGCAGGUCAAAUUUCUACCACAUUCCCUGGUGGCUUCACUCCUACUGGUGCGCUGCCAACCCUGGGUAACGCCAACUUUGCUAACUUCCGACCCCAAUAUUCACUACCGGGAGCUGCUACAGGACCAGGUGUGCCAUCUGUGCAGGUGAGCAGCCUCCAGAGCCUGGGUGCAAGCCUUCACAUGCUUGCUGCCUCCAACCCUCUCCUGGACCCACACUUGAGCAUGCAGCAGCCCCCGACCUCCCAUAGUGGGGCAAUAUCUGCUGCCACUCGAGCAUCUCUUCUUCUUCACCAACAGCAACAGCAGCAACUCCAGCAGCAUUCAGGAGAUACAAAAAAUCUGAUAUACUUGGAUUAGAACCAAACAUGGGAUCGAUGACUUGUACCACAACCAGAUUUUAUUUUUAUUUGACUUAUAUUUUGUUUUAUUUAUUUAUUUUGACCCUCCACCUAGAAAUGUGCAGUCAGUUUAGUCAUUCCGAGAGAUUUAGGCAGAUUUAUUUGAAUUUAUGUAAUCUCAUUGAUGUAUAAGAUACCUGUGGUAGAUUUCCUAAGUGAUCUCAAAGGUCUUUGUAUCCACAAGAUCUAGUUCUUACUUUAAAGGCUUAAUGUAAGAUUUUUAUGUAAUGUCAACUAAAUGGUAACAUAAAAUACCAUUAGAA